rnacentral:tRNA from 1 species
GGUAGUAUGGCUCAAGUGAUAGAGUGUUUGCCUAAGUAGCAUGAAGCCCUGGGUUCAAACCCCAGUGCUACCA